rfam:Triticum aestivum genome assembly, contig: Triticum_aestivum_CS42_TGACv1_scaffold_643489_T_7DL-0.259898_5DL-0.243396
UUAGUACUCCAUCCGUCCGAGAAUACUUGUCAGAGAAAUGGAUGCAUCUAGACAUAUUUUAGUUCUAGAUACAUCAUUUUUUAUCCAUUUGUGCGACAAGCAAUUCCGGAUGAAGGGAGCUGUCAG